rnacentral:lncRNA from 1 species
AACAAUAGAAUUCACCAGGCAUGCGAUAGACCGCACAGACAAGUUAUUCCAACAGAAUAAUAAUGAAUGGAAUAACAAAAGAAUUUCGCCAUGUAUGCGGUACUUCGCAUAGACAGGUUAUUCUAACAUAAUAAUAAAGAAUGAAAUAACAACCCUUGCGAGUAUUAAAAGAAAAUAACUCUCUUCAUGAAUACGAAAGAAUAAU